rnacentral:rRNA from 1 species
UACGAAGGGGGCAAGCGUUGUUCGGAAUUACUGGGCGUAAAGGGCGCGUAGGCGGACAGUUUAGUCAGAGGUGAAAGCCCAGGGCUCAACCUUGGAAUAGCCUUUGAUACUGGCUGUCUUGAGUUCGGGAGAGGUGAGUGGAAUGCCGAGUGUAGAGGUGAAAUUCGUAGAUAUUCGGCGGAACACCAGUGGCGAAGGCGACUCACUGGCCCGAUACUGACGCUGAGGCGCGAAAGCGUGGGGAGCAAACAGG